rnacentral:rRNA from 1 species
UUCUAUUAGAAAUAAUUAAUAGUAUAAUCUGCACCAUGAAUAUUAAAUAGCCGCAUAAUCUGUGCUAAGGUAGCAUAAUCAUUUGUCUUUUAAAUGAAGACUAGAACAAAAGAUUGAACAUUUUAAUUUCCUUCUUUAAAUUUUUUUCCAAAUUAUUUUAAGUGUAAAAAAACACUUAUUUUUAAGAAAGACAACAAGACCCUAUUGAACUUAACUAUAGUUUAACUGGGGCAGUUAAUUAAAUAUAAUUUUAUUUUAAUUAAAUAUAUUAAUGAUCCAAUCAAAUUGAUUAUAUGAUUCAGUUACCAUAGGGAUAACAGCGUAAUAAAUUUCUAAAGACCUUAUACAAAAAUAAGAUUGCGACCUCGAUGUUGAAUAAUUACCUAAAUUACGCAAAAGUAAUAUAAGGAAGUCUGUUCGACUUUUAAAAAAUUACA